ACAUGCUAAUGGACCACUCCGUUUUCCGUGCUUACUAUUUGGGUUGGGAACCCAAACUUGCAAACAGAGAGAAGAGGGGCUUCAGCGCUCCACUAUGAGACAAAGAAGAGUGAUUCUCAGCGUGUCAUUUCCAAUAAUACAAAGAAACCAAUGUCGAGGAGCAAAAAUUGUUUUCACAUGCCAAAAAUAAAAAUUCACAUGCCCAACCAAGACUGACAAAUUCCAGGCCAUGAUCUUACCAUUACCAACCCUCCUUCAUUCUUGAUGGGUCGAGCGGACCAUGUAGGAGGAAGGAAGCAACAGCAUCGUUGGGAGGAGACCACAGCCGUGCGAAGAAGUGGGAGGAGGCUAGGAAGUAGAGUCGGCAUCCCCAUAUCAGCCUAUACCAUCUCCAAAGGUCACCACUGCCCAUACGCUGCAUCUGCAGUGCUGAGCUUGUCGCCUCUUCGUCAUGCUCGUUGCUGGCCCACCCACGAAGGAGAUCCGCAGCGGCCGAAUCUGGCCGGAGGUGGGAAAAGAAAGUUUGGAUGCAGCGACAUAAGUGGAGGCGUCCGACAUCUCCAGCCGGCGAGACUGGCUGCGCUCCCGUGCGUUGGGGGAAGGGGAUCGGGAGGAGAGAGAUUGUCGGCGUUGGGAGGAGAGAGAUUCCAUGCAAAAAUCCUAUUUUGCUUUCCCUUUUGUUCAAUUCACACUGACGAAGCAGAAAGUACCCCGCACGGGAUUCCUAUACCUUGUGGUGCCUAGGAUUGUGGACUGUUAGAUAUGGUUGAAUGGAUGGUUCUGACUCUAGUACCGGGAGGUACCAAAAACUAUGUUGGACGGUAAGAAAUUUCUCUCUAUAUUAAUGUACCGCUUGAAGGAACAUGUAACUGUUCCAAGGUAAACCAACACUUUAUAUAUAUAGGUUUAUUACUAGAAUUGCAUUCGAAUCGACAUAUGGUUCUCAUCAUGCCUCGUACCAUCAGUGCAACAAAAAACAAUUGGGGUGGAUAAUGGUUAUGGAAUUUUUGAGAUCAGCUUAUGAGUCUUAGCUUGUUAGCACAGUAAGAUUCUCACCGUGUAGAAGAAUUUGGAAGAGUUGGACAUCCUUGCGGUCCAAGUCCUUUAUAUGGCUUGCGAUUAAUAACCACUGCUGGAGGGCCGAUCGCAUAGCUAAGCGAGGACUGGAGCAUCUCACUGCUUCUCUGUUUAUGAUCAGGCUGAAGAAUUUAUUAAUCACAUCCCAGUCUGAUAUGCGUUUUCUCGAUAAGUGUGAUCUCUAAUUCUCCUAAGGUUGAGCUGAUUCCCGUUUCUCCAAGUCAAGAUUUCACUCACUUCUACCGUUGGUGCUAAGGUAGUAAGAGGUUUUGACAAGACUUCCAAAAAAUGGCUCAAUUCAAUUAUCAUUUUGGUGGCUUGGAAAAUCUUAAAACAAAGAAACGAUUGUAUGUUUAACAACACUAAUUGUAAGAUUGGUGAGUUCAUUAGUAGAUCGCUAACCCCGAUUAGGUGAGGCUGUUUUAGUUGUUUUUUCAUUUAAACGUAAGUCACGUACGUUUGUAGGGUGAGGGGGGCCUUGUAAAAAUAAUAGCGGUUGAUCAGUGAAGCAUUUUUCCAUGCUAGUUUAUCGUAAGAGUAAUAUCAUAGUUUCUGAGUAGAUACCUGUCUGAGUAAAUUUUCUAGAGUUUUUUUUAUCCUAAACUUUCGAUUUCUGUACCAUUAAAUAAUUAUGCUAUUACUAGAGCAGGGGCGGAGGGGAUUUUUUUUUUAUUUUUUUUCAGCAUGAAUGAACCAGAGAUGAGACGAACAGAAAGACUCUCUGCGCAAGCCAAGCCAAUCACAUGGCUUUUGUGGUUUACUUUGUAGGUGCUAAUACAAGUUACCGUGUACAAUAUAGUUAUAAUGUAAUUACACUCUAAUAUACUAUUAUGAUAUUUAAAUAUUUUUCAUAACAAAACUAUCAAAUGUUAUAUAGCUACUCCCAUAGAAAAAAGCUCCUCAUGCUAUAAGUAGCCAUGAGGAAUGCCUCAUGCUACCCUCUAUAUUUUGCCUCAUGCUCAUGUUAUACAUACAUUGCAUGCUAUGUAUGCCAUGUGCAACUAUUGGUAGUAGCAGGUAGUAGGAGUUGGAGGCAUGGGAGAACCGGGCAGCACGAUGUUCACCAUAGCAUCUUCGAACUUCCCCCCUGCAGCUAGCCAGAAAAUUCCGUGCUGAAUGCCCACCUGCAGCCGUGGAUGUUGCGGCUACACGUUGUCUCCGUGUGCGUCUCUUACACCCGGUGAGCGGCAGUGCAGCUAAGGUAUACGCGGAUGAUGAAGAUGGCGCACGAGGGCAAGCAAACAAGGUCACGACGUAAACCUCUGCGAGUAUAAAAAGUCAACGACGUCAAAUAUUUAGGGACGGAGAGAGUAUAAAUUGCGACCAAGCAUGCCUGCCUGCCUACAGAUUCGAAGAACAUGCAUGGCCAGAGGUGAUUAUAUAAAUUACCACACUACAGAAGAUUUAAUGCCAGCGAAUUUGGAGAAUCUUUUCUAUACUGGCACCUGGUGUCUCACAACUAUCUUUAGAUUAGGACUAGGAGGCAUCAGAGAGAACAAUAGUGUAUUCCUGAUGAAGCUAUCUUCAGAUUCACAUUGUUCAACCAAAAGAAACCUCUUGAGUACCAUGUCACUUACCCUAGACGUUGCAGUUGCAAAGUUAGGUUCAGCCCUGACAUAAUAUCCUCCCGUGAAAUCAUCGACUUAGCUGCCUCACUGGAUACGGCCCUACCAAAACAACGGCGACACAAGGCUGUGUAUAUUCGUUGUCACAAGCAGCAUUCGUCUAGGUGGUGCAGGAGUGGUGCCAUAUAUCUUCAAGUAACUUCCUGCCCUUCUCUAUGUGUGCUCAAGGCUUGGAAGUUGGAACAAUGUGACUGUCACAUUGUGACAGGUGCUCAUCGACUGCUACCAUAUACUGAAAUUUUGAAGAGCAUUUGAAUGUGAAUAAUGGGGUUGUUCAAAUAUUUGAAUGCUUCUUGGGUUUAUGAAUUUUCGUGUCAUUACUGGAUGCUUGGGCCAAAAUUUCACAUAUAAGUGACAGAGAAAAUUAUUAUCUGUUAAGACCUAGUUCGGUUAAUUCCUUCCCUUAUACGUAAUGAAGGGGAUUACUAAUUCCACAAUUAUAUCAAGGUAGGCAAUUAUAAUCCCCUGAUUCCUUCCAAUCAUUUUCUUGUAGAGAUGAGCUGAACAAACCCACAAGGAAACAUAGUCCCCUUUCAUACAGCAUGCCCUCACGCUGAACGAUGAAUAGUGUUUGCUUGUAUAUAUUAGGUUGAGGUCA